rnacentral:rRNA from 1 species
AACGAACGCUGGCGGCAUGCCUAACACAUGCAAGUCGAACGAGACCUUCGGGUCUAGUGGCGCACGGGUGCGUAACGCGUGGGAACCUGCCCUUAGGUUCGGAAUAACUCCCCGAAAGGGGUGCUAAUACCGGAUAAUGUCUUCGGACCAAAGAUUUAUCGCCUUUGGAUGGGCCCGCGUUGGAUUAGCUAGUUGGUAGGGUAAAAGCCUACCACGGCGACGAUCCAUAGCUGGUCUGAGAGGAUGAUCAGCCACACUGGGACUGAGACACGGCCCAGACUCCUACGGGAGGCAGCAGUGGGGAAUAGUGGACAAUGGGCGAAAGCCUGAUCCAGCAAGGCCGCGUGAGUGAUGAAGGCCUUAGGGUUGUAAAGCUCUUUUACCCGGGAUGAUAAUGACAGUACCGGGAGAAUAAGCGCCGGCUAACUCCGUG